UACGAAGGGGGCUAGCGUUGCUCGGAAUGACUGGGCGUAAAGCGCGCGUAGGCGGCUUUGCAAGUCGGGUGUGAAAUCCCCAGGCUUAACCUGGGAACUGCAUUCGAGACUGCAUUGCUAGAGUAUGGGAGAGGGAAGUGGAAUUUCCGGUGUAGCGGUGAAAUGCGUAGAUAUCGGAAGGAACAUCAGUGGCGAAAGCGACUUCCUGGACCAAUACUGACGCUCAUGUGCGAAAGCGUGGGGAGCAAACAGG
rnacentral:rRNA from 1 species